rfam:Schistosoma mansoni strain Puerto Rico chromosome 1, complete genome
AUCCAGCUGACGAGUCCCAAAUAAGAUGAAACGCGUGUCCUGGAU